rnacentral:rRNA from 1 species
UACGGGGGGGGUAAGCGUUGUUCGGAAUUACUGGGCGUAAAGCGCGCGUAGGCGGCUUUGCAAGUCGGGUGUGAAAUCCCCAGGCUUGACCUGGGAACUGCAUUCGAGACUGCAUUGCUAGAGUAUGGGAGAGGGAAGUGGAAUUUCCGGUGUAGCGGUGAAAUGCGUAGAUAUCGGAAGGAACAUCAGUGGCGAAAGCGACUUCCUGGACCAAUACUGACGCUCAUGUGCGAAAGCGUGGGGAGCAAACAGG